GAGAAAAAUAAUAAUUUAGUUAUUAAAUGAAGUAUUCUGUUCUGACUGCUUACUGGAGACUAUGGUGGUAUAAUUUAGGAUAAAUGAAGCUAUGAUAAGUGUAGCACAUCCUUCUGGAGUAUCAUUUUUACCAAAUGAUCAGGGUACAGACUGUGUGACAUUAUCUCUAUAGGAACACAACCUAAUCAUGUGGCACUAUGACACCAUGAGGCAAUGUGAAAAUGCAUUUUGGAAAAGAUAUUGAAUUUGUAUGCCAUAGACAAAAGGAAGCAAAUGCA
rnacentral:lncRNA from 1 species